rnacentral:rRNA from 1 species
GACGUAGGGCGCGAGCGUUGUCCGGAUUUAUUGGGCGUAAAGGGCGCGUAGGCGGCCACCGCAAGUCGACUGUGAAAUCUCCGGGCUUAACUCGGAAAGGUCAGCCGAUACUGCGGGGGCUAGAGUGCAGAAGGGGCAACUGGAAUUCUCGGUGUAGCGGUGAAAUGCGUAGAUAUCGAGAGGAACACCUGCGGCGAAGGCGGGUUGCUGGGCUGACACUGACGCUGAGGCGCGAAAGCCAGGGGAGCGAACGGG